rnacentral:rRNA from 1 species
AACGAACGCUGGCGGCGCGCCUAAUACAUGCAAGUCGAGCGAGAAGACGUAGCAAUACGUUUGUAAAGCGGCGAACGGGUGAGGAAUACAUGGGUAACCUACCCUCGAGUGGGGAAUAACUAGCCGAAAGGUUAGCUAAUACCGCGUACGCUCCUUGGACUUCGGUUCAGGGAGGAAAGCGAUACCGUGGGUAUCGCGCUCUUGGAUGGGCUCAUGUCCUAUCAGCUUGUUGGUGAGGAACGGCUCACCAAGGCUUCGACGGGUAGCUGGUCUGAGAGGACAAUCAGCCACACUGGCACUGCGACACGGGCCAGACUCCUACGGGAGGCAGCAGUAAGGAAUAUUGCGCAAUGGGCGAAAGCCUGACGCAGCGACGCCGCGUGGGGGAUGAAGGUCUUCGGAUUGUAAACCCCUUUCGGGAGGGAAGAUGGAACGAGCGAUCGUUCGGACGGUACCUCCA